AAAUAAUUUAAAGAACAAAAAGUAAAAUUUUCAGAUUGGUAUUGGACUUUUUUUUUUUUGUCACUAAAAUUUUUAUUAGAACUUGAGAUGGAACCUUACAUGAAACCAAACGCCAAGGAAACUAAGUCGGCAGACAACUAAAAGUCCCCAAAGUCAUAAGCCGGAAGAAACAGUGAAUUCUCCGAAAACUAAAAUGGAAUCAAGAUACACUAAAAAUACAAAGCAGAAAGUUCAAGUCGAUAUCAAGAAAGCUCGAAAUCCAAAUCUAAGAACAUUAGCAAGCUAACAUAAACCUUGAGGAAUGAUGCUAGUCCAAAAGCAACAAAUCCACUUCUUCUUAAGAUAAUCCUAUGAACGAGAUUUAUCAAGGAUGCCUUCUGCCAAUCCAACGAUAACAAAUUCUUCUUCCUAUCAAGAUGAGAGCCAACCUCUCGGAACCAAGAAACCAAGACGUUAGAACCCGGCAAGCAAAGACACUAGAAGAACCUCAAACCACACUUCCGGAUGCGACGACGACGAUAAAAGAUGCGCCAAUGUUACGUCUAGAUAAAAGUCUUCAAUAAGCUUCAGAUCACAACCGGAUCUGCAAAGCAAAGACAAGGACAGAAGCCUAACCACUCGAAAAAACCCGCCUCGAGAAAGAGAGUGCCAUCAAAUCGAACCAGUUAACAAACACAACAAAACCACCAAGAAGAGGAGAACUUGAAGACCCUAGCAACAACUUCAGGCAAAACAAAGAAGCCCAAAAGACAGGACACAAGCAAGAUAAGGACCGAUGGUUGAAACAGGAGGAAACAUGGCCACCGGAAAAACAAAGUCUGGACGAAGCCAAACCAACACGGCGGCAUAGAGACGAUAAAAAGCACCAGAGCAGCUCUAGAUCUAGGUCGAGAAAAGCAAAGAUAACAGAUUAUUAGACGAAACAAACCUGUGGAUCAAACAGAUCCGGCAUCAUCAUCUUCACAAGAACCACGCCGUCGAUCUAGCCCUCAAAACCGCAACCGAAGAGACCACAAAUUCACAAUCCGAAACAAACCCACGACACUCCAAUCGAAGGGCCAAAACAAACUACAACAGAGACACCAUCACCAUUACAAACUACUAACAGAGAAAGGCUAGACAUAAAGCAAAGAGGAGACCGACACCGGUGCUGGAGGAGCCACCGGCUACCGAUCUCAGAUCGGAAAAUAUUAUUGGCGGCUGGUUUGAGAGAGAGAGCUUUAGAGAGUAAUUAGGUUUUUUUUUUAUAUCUUCGAUUUGACUUUUGUUUAUACAGCCAGAUUGGUAUUGGACUAUUGGGUACAAUAUAUAUAUACUAUGAUGUUUUAAUUUUCAUAGCAGGAUUUUUGAUUGAGUACUAUAUACUAUGAUUUAAAAAACCU
rnacentral:sRNA from 1 species